rnacentral:lncRNA from 1 species
UAUAGAAGAGUCUAAUCCUGCUGGGAAGAGAGGAAGCAUGGGCAGUGUCAGGCACAGGGCUGAGUACUCAAGGCUAGAGGCUUGGGGCAAGGGCUAUGGGGCAUUCCUGCCGGGCCCGGAGUCUAGAAUCUGAGGUUAGAGGACUGCAGCUGAGACUGGGAGCUGAGAAGUGGAGGCUGAGGGGUUUGGAGACUCUGCAGGUGGAUCCAGGACCAAGGCUAGAAGGGAGUGAAGGGAAGCCCUUCACGGGGUCAGGGGCUCCAAGGUCUGGGGAGACUUCAUGGACGGGUUUUCAAAGAGGCAAAGUAGGGGCUGAGCACCCAGGGGUCCCAGGGUGGGGAGUAGAUGGACAUGUCUGCUGA